rnacentral:rRNA from 1 species
ACGCUCGACACCUACGGGAGGCAGCAGUGGGGAAUAUUGCACAAUGGGGGAAACCCUGAUGCAGCGACGCCGCGUGGAGGAAGAAGGUCUUCGGAUUGUAAACUCCUGUUGUUGGGGAAAAAGAGGAUGGUACUCAACAAGGAAGUGACGGCUAACUACGUGCCAACAGCCGCGGUAAUCUGAGCGGGCUGGCAAGGC